rnacentral:rRNA from 1 species
CUACGGGAGGCUCCAGCAAGGAAUAUUGGGCAAUGGGCGAAAGCCUGACCCAGCGACGCCGCGUGAGGGAUGAAGGGCUUCGGUUCGUAAACCUCUUUUCCCAGGGAUGAAUAAUGACAGUACCUGGGGAAUAAGUCACGGCUAACUACGUGCCAGCAGCCGCGGUAAAACGUAGGUGGCGAGCGUUAUCCGGAUUUACUGGGCGUAAAGUGGGCGUAGGCGGCUCUUCAAGUCAGGUGUAAAAUCUCCCGGCUCAACUGGGAGGCACCAUGUGAUACUGUUGGGCUUGAGGACAGCAGAGGGAGGUAGAAUUCCCGGUGUAGUGGUGGAAUGCGUAGAUAUCGGGAGGAAUACCAGUGGCGAAAGCGGCCUCCUAGGCUGUUUCUGACGCUGUUGCCCGAAAGCGUGGGGAGCAAACAGGAUUAGAUACCCUCGUAGUC